UACAGAGGGGGCAAGCGUUGUUCGGAAUUACUGGGCGUAAAGGGCGCGUAGGCGGCCUGCUAAGUCGAACGUGAAAUCCCCGGGCUCAACCCGGGAACUGCGUCCGAUACUGGAUGGCUUGAAUCCGGGAGAGGGAUGCAGAAUUCCAGGUGUAGCGGUGAAAUGCGUAGAUAUCUGGAGGAAUACCGGUGGCGAAGGCGGCAUCCUGGACCGGCAUUGACGCUGAGUGAGCGAAAGCCAGGGGAGCAAACGGG
rnacentral:rRNA from 1 species